GUUUCGGCAGCGGUGAUGGGGCAUAAGCUGGCAGCGCUAGCGUUUUUGUUCAAAUUUAACGGGUGGGAGGAUGCUACCAAAAAUGUUCUGGUUAGACAGGCACUGAAAGGUUUCAGGAGGGGUAAAGUGUCAGUGGAUACUAGGAGGCCGGUGUCGUUCGAAUUGCUGCAGCGUGUGGUCAGAGUCCUGCCCGCGGUGUGUUUUUCAGGAUACGAAGUGACGUUGUUUUCCGUGGUUUUAGUUUUGCCUUUUUUGGGGCAUUUCGGGUCAGCGAGCUAGUUAGCAGCAGUCGCCAAGGAUCUGGGGGACUUCAGGCGAUGGACGUGGAAGUGUGGAGCAACAAGGUAGUGAUUAACCUGAGGCGGUCCAAAAUGGAUGUAAUGGGGAAAGGAACGUUGGUUACGUUGUGG